rnacentral:rRNA from 1 species
AGGGUUUGAUUCUGGCUCAGGAUGAACGCUGGCGGCGUGCUUAACACAUGCAAGUCGAGCGAAGCAGUUAAGUUGAUUUCUUCGGAUUGAUUCUUAAUUGACUGAGCGGCGGACGGGUGAGUAACGCGUGGGUGACCUGCCCCAUACCGGGGGAUAACAGCUGGAAACGGCUGCUAAUACCGCAUAAGCGCACAGAGCUGCAUGGCUCGGUGUGAAAAACUCCGGUGGUAUGGGAUGGGCCCGCGUCUGAUUAGGCAGUUGGCGGGGUAACGGCCCACCAAACCGACGAUCAGUAGCCGGCCUGAGAGGGCGACCGGCCACAUUGGGACUGAGACACGGCCCAA